UGGGGUGUCGCCAAGUGGCUAAGGCAGCGGACUUUGAAUCCGCCAUUCGUAGGUUCGAAUCCUACCACCCCAG
rnacentral:tRNA from 1 species